GACUCGGUGGCGGAUGGUCCGCGUCUGCACAUCAAGCUGCCCCUUCUGCAGAAGGUGCCUGUUCGAAUCGGGCUCGAGUUG